GUGAACUCUGGCCUUUCCAGGUUUCUUUUCCUGGUCCCUGGUGGAGAGGACCACACCCCAGCCAGGGCCGUGGAAGAGUCCUGAGGCCUCCUGACGGGUAGUGGAGCAGUCACAGGUUUCAGAACCAAACCAUGCUCUUCCUUCUUCCCUUCUUGAACAUGAGCUGUACGUCCCUUGGCCCGGGGAAGUGAUGAGAAAAUGAAUAACCCACUGGCAGAAUUCUUCCUGCACAUGGAGAACUACUAGGCAGCCUUCCUCCCAGAUUCUCCCAGCCACUUCAUCUGGGGCCUGUGCAGACACAGCACAGGUUCAGGCACCCACCCUCCUGCCCCUAUUUGCAGAUUCCUCUGGCAGUGCAGCAAGCCCAUUAUUGCAACCUGGGGGAUGGCUGAACUGGAACCUGCUGACUCCACUGUGCCUCGUCUAAAAGCUCAGGAGCCUCAAGGACGUGUGAAGCCAGCCCAACUGGCCUUGGUUGGAAUCAAGGCCAAUUUGGGCCCUGGAAGGAAAGCCCAGAAUCCAGAAUGUGCUGACAGUGGGAGAGCUGUUCAUUUGUCCUCCGUGGGAUGAGGAACCUCAGCUGGAACCAGACAGAGUGCAGUCAAAGAGGC
rnacentral:lncRNA from 1 species